UUGGGGGAAACGUGCGUCUCUUUCAGAUCAAACACAUUUCGGGGAAGGGGAGGGGAUGCACAGGCGCAAUGCUGGCCGGAGUUCUUUGUGCUAUUGGUUUGUUUUUCUAUGUAGACUUUAUCACAUGGAAAAAACUUGGCAAUUUUUUUUUUUUUGGCUACUUGAUUUAUUGGUUAACAACUAUGUAUGUUAAAAUCUUUUGGUUUCUAAUUGUGUUGGUUUUUAAGUAAUAUAUUUUGAAGUCGUGUUCUUAGAUGACACUAAGUCUUCUAUUUUGAUGAAACACGAUGUAAAUAAAAGGAGGAAGUAUGGGCUUUGACUCACUGUUUCCGAGGUUUCUGACCAUGGCCACUAAGCCCCAUCACUGUGAGCCUUUGGGGCCUGAGACAGGAGAGAGGGGGCCGAGGAACAGAGCUGCGCUGGAGUUUGUGUGGGGCCAGGACUCAGGGUGGGUCUUCUUUUCAGGAGCUGUCUUUUGUCGCAGUCGUCUAUGGCCAUGCCUCAGCGGUGUAGUCCAAAGUGUGUCUCCCCGGGCGCCUGGGUAUCUCUCUGUCCAGUCAGGCUGACAAUUAGACUAACCAGCAGAUCAUUUCAGUUGGAAUCUUAUCAUUAAGUAGGGACCAGCUCGAGUCCUAAUGCUAAAUGGGCUUUUG
rnacentral:lncRNA from 1 species